GACGAACGCUGGCGGCGUGCCUAAUACAUGCAAGUCGAACGCACUCUCGUUUAGAUUGAAGGAGCUUGCUCCUGAUUGAUAAACAUUUGAGUGAGUGGCGGACGGGUGAGUAACACGUGGGUAACCUGCCCUAAAGUGGGGGAUAACAUUUGGAAACAGAUGCUAAUACCGCAUAAAACCUAACACCGCAUGGUGUAGGGUUGAAAGAUGGUUUCGGCUAUCACUUUAGGAUGGACCCGCGGUGCAUUAGUUAGUUGGUGAGGUAAAGGCUCACCAAGACCGUGAUGCAUAGCCGACCUGAGAGGGUAAUCGGCCACACUGGGACUGAGACACGGCCCAGACUCCUACGGGAGGCAGCAGUAGGGAAUCUUCCACAAUGGACGAAAGUCUGAUGGAGCAACGCCGCGUGAGUGAAGAAGGUUUCGGAUCGUAAAACUCUGUUGUUGGAGAAGAAUGUAUCUGAUAGUAACUGAUCAGGUAGUGACGGUAUCAACCAGAAAGCCACGG
rnacentral:rRNA from 1 species